GACGAACGCUGGCGGCGUGCUUAACACAUGCAAGUCGAACGCGCUUUGCUCCUUCGGGAGCAAAGUGAGUGGCGAACGGGUGAGUAACACGUGAGCAACCUGCCCUUGACUCUGGAAUAACAGCUGGAAACAGCUGCUAAUACCGGAUACGACCUCCGAUGGCAUCAUCUGGAGGUGGAAAGCUCCGACGGUCAAGGAUGGGCUCGCGGCCUAUCAGCUUGUUGGUGAGGUAACGGCUCACCAAGGCUUCGACGGGUAGCCGGCCUGAGAGGGCGACCGGCCACACUGGGACUGAGAUACGGCCCAGACUCCUACGGGAGGCAGCAGUGGGGAAUAUUGCACAAUGGGCGCAAGCCUGAUGCAGCAACGCCGCGUGCGGGAUGACGGCCU
rnacentral:rRNA from 1 species